CGGCAGCCCGCGGGAUCCCGCCCUGCCCAGCCUCCGCCCUCAGCCCUCACCUGCCCACACCCUCGGCUCCACGCCUGGCACCUCCCGCUGUCCCUCAGGCCCCUUUGUGGGGCCGGGAUUCUGGGACCGGGCCAGGCUGGGUGGGCGGUGACAGAGGGGUGGGGAUGCAGGGCCCAAGGAGGGCUGAGGACUCGGGGAGCUGUCUCUUCUCACUGUUGCUGGGGAGAGGAGAAGGCGGGAGGCUGCGUGGCUGUCACCCACACUGUCCCUCCCUCUCUGCACCUCGGUCUGGCUGUCCCUCGCUCCCUGCUUCUGUCUGCCUUUCUGGACUCAGACAAAGACCUAAGUUGCCAGCCUGGUUGGUUCCCCCACUAACUGGCCGGGCAGCCUUGGUGGGGAAUGUCCUCUCUCCUGGCCUCAGUUGUCCCUUCCGCACAGUGGGCACAAGGUCUUCACCACCUGGACAGGACGAGGUGGGAGCAGGGGAGGCCCGGCCAGCUCCUUCUCUCUGCCCCAUGGUCCCGGGCCCUGGGCAGGGUGGUGGUGGGCACUGGGGCCUGUGGGGUCCCCAUCCCUGACUGAGCCUGUCCCCUGUCCUCUCUCGCAGCCUCCCAGCAUCCACGCAGAGCAUGAACAUUGAGGAUGGCGCGGGCCCACUCCCCGUGCCCCCCCACUGCCGCCCUGGUAGGAUGUCCUGGCCCCACGGGGUGCUGCUCUUCCUGUGGCUCUUCUCCCCACCCCUGGGGGCCGGCGGGGGCAGCGUGGCCCGGCGCAGCGGCCGCAGGAGGGGGCUCCCCACCGGCCACCUCCCUGCCCAGCCGCCUGCUCCUGCAGCAACCAGGCCAGCCGGGUCAUCUGCACUCGGGAGAGAGCUGGCCGAGGUCCCUGCCAGCAUCCCCGUCAACACGCGGUACCUGAACCUGCAGGAGAACGGCAUCCAGGAUCUCAUUGUGUAUCCCAGGCUGGCCUCGAACUCACUUUGAUCUUCCUGCCUCAGCCUCCCAAGUAUUGGGAUCACAGGUGUGCGCCAUGCCCCAUUCACCCGUAUUUUUUUCGAUCAUGGGAGACAGCUGACAUUUGACAUCUGCACUUCCUGGCCGAGUCGACCUGGACACUGUUGAUACUGCCUGGGCGUCAGGUUGGCCCUGGGUGACCGGGAGGGAUGUCGCCCCACCAGGCUGCGAGGGCACCCACGUGAGUGUGUGCAGGCGGGGAGACGGUGGGUGGGGCGCUCCACAACGAGCUCCCUCCGCUGCCCCCGUGGCCCCGCGCCAGCUGGUCAUAGUGUCACCCCACUCCGUGGAGCAGGCUGAGGUCGAGCGGGCCCAGACCCGGGUUCCCCCACCGAAAGGAAAACCCUUCCCAAGAUCCCCACCAGGAGGGUGGGGGUGGGCGGUCAGCAAAGCCCGCGUCAGACAGCCUGGCGCACGUCCUGAUCUCCCUCUGUCUUUUUUCAGUGCUGGGGAUUCAACCCUCAGUCUGCACUGAGCUACAUCCCAGCCUUUUAUUUCAUUUUUUAUUUUGAGACAGGCUCUCACUGAGUCGCUGAGUUGUCCAGGUUGGGCUCUAUCAGUGCCAUCCGCCUGCCUCAGCCUCCCAGAGUGCUGGCAUCACAGGCAUGGGCACCAUCACACCUGGCUCUGUUCUGCCCACUUUACAGAUGAGAAACUGAGGCCCAGGAGAGCAGGGCUCUGAUACCAUAACGCAGCCCACACAGGCAACCCUGUCUUCAGCCUGACAAACUCCCCUCAUAGGGGACACCCUUGUCGUCUGCCCCCUCCCCACACCCCAGCGCCUGACUCCACGCUCCCAGCGCCCCAUCUGCAGAGCGCCCUCUGCUGGGCG
rnacentral:lncRNA from 1 species